rnacentral:piRNA from 1 species
GUAACUCUUGCCUGGGCAGUCUUGACCUC